rnacentral:rRNA from 1 species
CCUACGGGAGGCUGCAGUGGGGAAUUUUGCACAAUGGGCGAAAGCCUGAUGCAGCAACGCCGCGUGUGUGAUGAAGGUCUUCGGAUCGUAAAGCACUUUCGACCGGGACGAACAACCUCUGGCUAACAGUCAGGGGCCUGACGGUACCGGGAGAAGAAGCACCGGCUAACUCUGUGCCAGCAGCCGCGGUAAUACAGAGGGUGCAAGCGUUGUUCGGAAUUAUUGGGCGUAAAGCGCGUGUAGGCGGCGUGAAAGCCCUCAGCUCAACUGAGGAAGGGCGCCCGAAACUGGCGAGCUUGAGUGUCGGAGAGGAUGGCGGAAUACCCCAAGUAGAGGUGAAAUUCGUAGAUAUGGGGUGGAACACCGGUGGCGAAGGCGGCCAUCUGGACGACAACUGACGCUGAGACGCGAAAGCGUGGGGAGCAAACAGGAUUAGAUACCCUAGUAGUC